AAAGUCAUGAGGUUCUCUGUACAGAGGGUCUCGCUUGGCCUUCUGUAGCCUUGUCUGAGCAGAAGUUCCAGGAGGAGGCUAUGGCUCUGGCUGCCACCACCGGUUGAGCUGGUCAGCAGGAAGUUUGACGUGCCAGAAAAACAAGGGAGGGAACAAGAAAGGCAUUUUUCCAACUUAUCCAGAUGCCUCGGAGCCUAGAGUUGAUUGGCUGAAGAGAACUGAUUUGAGUGAGUCUAUCUUUACUGGUCUAUAUUAGAUAUGGUAGGCUACAUGAUGCUAUAACAAACAAACCCCCAAAUCUCAGUGGCUUACCAUGGUAAAAGUUUAUUCUUCUGCUUACACAAAGUCCAUUGCGUGCUCAGAAGGUAACUUCUGUGGGACUCUCCUUCAAUUCC
rnacentral:lncRNA from 1 species